AUGGCUGGUCCUACGUUGAUGCACUGCCUGCUCGCCGUCUCUCUCCUCUCCUCCGUUGCCCACGCGCAGCUCUCGACGACUUUCUACUCCAGAUCCUGCCCGAGUAUGGAGAACACCGUGUGGGCGGUGAUGAAACACGCCGUCGUCAAGGACCGGCGGAUGGGCGCGUCGCUUCUGAGGCUCUUCUUCCACGACUGCUUCGUCCAGGUGAUGUCUCAUGACUCGUCGCACUUGACUAUACAGUCUAUAACUGAGUAUACGAAUAACGUAGUAUCUCACAGUUCGCAUGAUAAUUCUGACAUGCAUGUACUGCAGGGCUGUGACGGCUCGGUUCUUCUAGACGCUGGCAGCGAGAAGGCCGCCGGCCCGAACGCCAACUCCCUGCGCGGCUUCGAGGUCAUCGACGCCAUCAAGGCGCGCGUGGAGGCCGCGUGCCCCGGCGUCGUCUCCUGCGCCGACAUCCUCGCGCUCGCGGCGCGCGACGGAACGUUCCUGCUCCACGGGCCGACCUGGGCAGUGCCGCUCGGCCGGCGCGACUCGACGACGGCGAGCCAGUCCCUCGCCAACUUUAACCUUCCCUCGGUGAACUCCAGCCUCGCCACGCUCAUCUCCAUGUUCGCGAGGCAAGGGCUCUCGCCGACCGACAUGACGGCGCUGUCCGGCGCGCACACCGUCGGGCAGGCACGCUGCACCACCUUCCGCGACCGCAUCUACGGCAACUCCAACAUGGACGCGACCUUCGCGAGGCGGCAGCAGCGGACCUGCCCCCUCUCCGGCGGGGAAAACAACCUGGCGCCCUUGGACGCGCAGACCCCGAGGGCGUUCGACAACGCCUACUACCAGAACCUCAUGGCGCACCGCGGCCUGUUCCGCUCCGACCAGGAGCUCUUCAGCGGAGGGUCGCAGGACGCGCUGGUGCGGCAGUACAGCGCCAACCCCGCGCUCUUCCGGAGCGACUUCGUCAAGGCGAUGGUGAAGAUGGGCAACAUUAAUCCUCUCACCGGCACCGCCGGCCAGAUCAGGAGAAACUGCAGAUUCGUCAACAGCUAG
rnacentral:rRNA from 1 species